rnacentral:rRNA from 1 species
GACGAACGCUGGCGGCGUGCUUAACACAUGCAAGUCGAACGAGGUCCAAUCAUUCGCAAGUUUGAGGAAGACCUAGUGGCGAACGGGUGCGUAACACGUGAGGAACCUAUCCCAGUCUCUGGAAUAACAGGUGGAAACACCUGCUAAUACCGGAUACCGCUGGACCAUCGCAUGGUGGACCAACGAAAGAUUUAUCGGAUUGGGAGGGCCUCGCGGCCUAUCAGCUUGUUGGNGAGGUAACGGCUCACCAAGGCGUCGACGGGUAGCUGGUCUGAGAGGAUGAUCAGCCACACUGGGACUGAGACACGGCCCAGACUCCUACGGGAGGCAGCAGUGGGGAAUCUUGCACAAUGGGCGAAAGCCUGAUGCAGCAACGCCGCGUGCGGGAAGAAGGCCCUAGGGUUGUAAACCGCUUUCNGCAGGGAAGAAAUAGACGGUACCUGUAGAAGAAGGUGCGGCCAACUACGUGCC